GGUGAGUUGGCCCGCUGGAAUGGGAAGCAGUUUGCUAAACUGUCCGGUGUUUAAAAGCAUCUACAGGUUCGAGUCCUGUACUCACCGC
rnacentral:tRNA from 1 species